rnacentral:rRNA from 4 species
CGGGUCUAGUGGCGCACGGGUGCGUAACGCGUGGGAAUCUGCCCUUUGCUUCGGAAUAACAGUUAGAAAUGACUGCUAAUACCGGAUGAUGUCGCAAGACCAAAGAUUUAUCGGCAAAGGAUGAGCCCGCGUAGGAUUAGGUAGUUGGUGGGGUAAAGGCCUACCAAGCCGACGAUCCUUAGCUGGUCUGAGAGGAUGAUCAGCCACACUGGGACUGAGACACGGCCCAGACUCCUACGGGAGGCAGCAGUGGGGAAUAUUGGACAAUGGGCGAAAGCCUGAUCCAGCAAUGCCGCGUGAGUGAUGAAGGCCUUAGGGUUGUAAAGCUCUUUUACCAGGGAUGAUAAUGACAGUACCUGGAGAAUAAGCUCCGGCUAACUCCGUGCCAGCAGCCGCGGUAAUACGGAGGGAGCUAGCGUUGUUCGGAAUUACUGGGCGUAAAGCGCACGUAGGCGGUUCAUCAAGUCAGGGGUGAAAGCCCGGAGCUCAACUCCGGAACUGCCCUUGAAACUAGUGGACUUGAAUCUUGGAGAGGCGGGUGGAAUUCCGAGUGUAGAGGUGAAAUUCGUAGAUAUUCGGAAGAACACCAGUGGCGAAGGCGGCCCGCUGGACAAGUAUUGACG